rnacentral:rRNA from 1 species
AUUGAACGCCGGCGGCAGGCUUAACACAUGCAAGUCGAGCGGAGAUGAGGUGCUUGCACCUUAUCUUAGCGGCGGACGGGUGAGUAAUGCUUAGGAAUCUGCCUAUUAGUGGGGGACAACAUUCCGAAAGGAAUGCUAAUACCGCAUACGUCCUACGGGAGAAAGCAGGGGAUCUUCGGACCUUGCGCUAAUAGAUGAGCCUAAGUCGGAUUAGCUAGUUGGUGGGGUAAAGGCCUACCAAGGCGACGAUCUGUAGCGGGUCUGAGAGGAUGGUCCGCCACACUGGGACUGGGACACGGCCCAGACUCCUACGGGAGGCAGCAGUGGGGAAUAUUGGACAAUGGGGGGAACCCUGAUCCAGCCACGCCGCGUGUGUGAAGAAGGCCUUAUGGUUGUAAAGCACUUUAAGCGAGGAGGAGGCUACUGAGACUAAUACUCUUGGAUAGUGGACGUUACUCGCAGAAUAAGCACCGGCUAACUCUGUGCCAGCAGCCGCAGUAAGAC